GCGGCCUCCUCCCGCGCCGGCGUGGGGGAGGAGCCGCCCUGCCCCGCCCCGGCUGAGGGGAAGCGGCGGCGCGGAGCUGUUUUGUGGGGAUGUUUACUUGACCUGAACCCACUCCCUCCCCCGCUCUAACGGGUGCUGGGGACGUCGUUUUAGCCGUCGCCUUGGCGGGAGGAAUAAGCGACCGGUUACUCGGACGCGGGAGCUGGGGUCUCUCCAGGGAGGCCGUGGCGCCUCCGCCGCCGUCACCCCCGAGCGGCUCCGAGGGGGAGGAGAGUGGCGGCAGCUGGGCGUUUGCUGGGCGCUGCGGAGCCCCGGGCUUGUAGCAGGGCCUGGGGUGCCGGGGCACGGGGGUGGGUUGGUGGGGGAUGGCCGUGGGCGAAAAUCCAGUGCAGCUCUUUGAAGCGUUUAUGGUUUUUCUGGCUGGGGGAAGAAAGUCCGGUCUGAGACUACUAAGCCAGCUCCGAGCUAGAGAAGUCUUUAAGCAUAAGCACCAGCAAGCAGUUCUGUGCCAGUUUAUUUCCCUCACUUACCAAGCUUGAGUUCUGGCUUGCAAAAGGUUUUUUUUUCUUUCUGUCUUUCCUUAUCAAACUGGAAGCAAUGAUUCAGGCAAGGUAGCCUAAGUUCACAGUUGCUGUUCAGGACUUUCUACUUGGAGUUCACGUGGGACUGGUGAGUUGGAAGAAACUUCAAGGUCCUCCUUAGCCUAAGCUGCCUCACAGUGUCCUGUGUACCCGGACCGUUGGCCCUGGAGCAGUCAGAGGGAGCUCAGCUUACAGGUUGGUCCCACGCCGAGGCUACGUCAGGCACCUGGCAAUAGUAAUUCACUAGGACUCUCCAGCCAGGUGCUAAGGUGGUCAUGCUUUGAAGUGUCCCACAGCUCAGCUUUUUGUUGACAGUGAAUUGUUGGGAUGGUUGAAGAGGCAUUGGCAUUUCCUUCAUAUGAACUCACAAGUCUACCUUUCUGGCUGUGCCAGUCUGGUAGCUUUUAAACAGAUAAAGACUUUUUAUUUGUGGUGUGUCAGGUCAACAACUUGAACAACAUUGACUUACGCUGCUUGUAAGAGGUGUGCGUCUAACUUGCUCAUAAAAACCUUCAAUACACUGAUCUUGCAGGACACCAAAUUCUGUUUCCAUAUUUCAUGACUUUUCUAUGAGAAAUAUUUCCCUGUGAACCAAAAAUAAGCGCUUUUUUUGCUUUUUUUUGUUUAUUUUCUUCCCUGUGGACAGACAAAAGAAAUUACUCAUAUCUAUAAAAUAUCUGGUUUUUCCACAUGAAAAAAAAGUUUUCCAUGUUCUUUUGUCAGUCAUUUUUCUCAUUUUCUCUCCUCUGUAUUUUUCCCAGUGUCUUAACAUUAUUUGUAAAAUGUGGAGUCCAAAAUAGCAGUUCUCAUGUGUCCAUAACCAGCCUCAUCACCUCAAAAUAAAGUUGUAUGAGUAUCUCCAGUCUUGCUCCUUUCUGACUGUGAUUUUUUUGGUUUUGGUUUUUUCCAACAGCAUCUGAAUUUUCUUUUUCAUCCUAGAUCCCUAUUCUAGAUGGUUACUACUGAAAUCUAUCUGUAUAUUUGGUAUUUCCUUAUUAAGCACUGUUUUUCCCUUCACUAAAUUUCAGUAACUUUGAUCAGAGCCACUCAGUUUUUCAAACAUAGUUGAUUUUUUUCUUUUCAUUCUAUCCCAGCCAUUUUGUUACCUAGGUUGUUCAUAAAAAUAGGUCUUGCCUGGACAGUAAGGCAUUGGAAAGCAGCAUGUGAAAUACUUCUCCUAGUUUAAAAACCCUUUACAAUAGAGGUUUUUUUCAGCCAUACUGAUUUCUUUUCUUGCAUUUUUCUUGUUUGUAAGAACAUAAUGCAAAGAGUGCCAAAAGCCUUCCUGAAGUCAAGGUGUGGCACACCUGCUUUUUGCUUUCAUACUAUGUAGCUUGUCAGAGAAGGAAAUAGGGUUGAUCGAUCAUUGUUUAUCCUUGAGGAAUCCAUCUUGUCUAUUUGCCACUUUUUGCAAGCUCUUGAACUUAUUCGUUGAAACUUUAAGUCACUUGUAUUGCAUAACACAGCCUUCCUCAGAAAGUUUUGGAACCAAUCUAAAGCACUGGCUAUCUUGGAAAUACAGACACUUUGUCUCCACCAGAAGACGUGAAGCGAACAAAACAGGGUGGAAAAACUUAAGCUUAUUUUGGAGGACCCUACUUUCCACAUAGAAGAGAGCUGCUUCCCCAUUAUUUUAUGUACAAGAAGUGAAGUUUUGUUAAUUACUUUUUAAAUUUAAUAAUUCAUUAACAAUUCUUAUCCAGUGUGAGUUUUCUCAGAAAAACAAGUUUUUGCCUUGUUUCCUAUGAAAGUUAGGCUUCCGCUUUCACAUAUCCGUGUGUGUAGGGGUCUGCCUCUAUGCUCCCUAUCCUAGUAAUGAAUACGAAAACUGGCACCUUUGCUGAAGGAAAAGCUGCAGUUGGGGUCAGCGGUUAAACCGAAUCAAGAAUUCGCACAAAAACAAGUCUUUCCAAGUGCUCCCUCUACAGGUAGGAACUUCAGCUGGCGUUCACUUUGUUCACAUGGGUUUGUGUGACCUCAACCACAGGAAACAAAGCUGCAGGAAACCAGGCUGUAAGAAGGUAAGGUCUGAUCCAGUAUAAGUAAAGCUUGUUGCUACUGGAGAUGGGGUAGCUCUGCCCCCACUAACCCACUCUUCGACCCUUCCUUGUUCUGGCACUAGCCGAGUCAUCUCUGAAUCAGGGAACUGGAGUGGCUAAGCUUUAUUUUUUCCAUAUUAGCUUUCAGACAAAUCCAUUUGGGGUCCCACAGCCACAGCAACGAACUAUAAUGCUUUUGACAGCUUUGCCAGAUGGAUUCCAUCUCUGCCCAGCAGUCCUCACUCCUCAAAAACGGUCCUGUCGAUGUCAAGGCUAAAGCCCAUUCUGUUACAGCAGUCACGCAGACAGGUAAUGACUCAGUCUCCUUUCCUACAGAAGCUUCUCCUCUGCCUGUAUUGGGGAAUAUGAAGGAGAAAUUGAACGCCCACUUGAGAGCAGAGAGGCCCUGCAGCCUGCAGAGAGACCUAGACAAAUUAGAGAGCUGGGCAAUCACCAACCAUGCGAAGUUUAACAAGGGUGCUUUUGGAAGCAUCAUGAAGGGCUCAGAUGCAUUUGGUCUCUGUACCUCCUGUGGAUAGAAGUCUCUGUUCCCUUCUUCACGUCAAUCUGACAGAUUGUUGUCUAUCUUGAAUGGACAAUUUAAUGCACAUUUCCUGUUUGCACAGAAAGAAUGAAACAAAUUAGUCUUUUAAUUCCCAGUCCUCCAUCCCUUGGGCUUCAUAAUAGGAUUCUUACUUGUGGAGCUGGAAUAUAGGCUUGUCUUCCACUGCUUUUUUUUAAUCUUUGCCUUCAAGAAAGUGAGUAUGGCUUGAAUGAUGUAAACCUUUAUGCUCUGGCUGGUUUGCUAGCUAUGUAAUCCAUAACAUAGCAGUCAUAUUAGAAUCUCUAUUAUUUUUUUAUGCCAUUUAGGCCCAGAGUGUUGGAAGCAGCAGAGGCUGUACACGUAGAGAACAUGGGGAAGAGGAGGGGCAGAGCAGCAAGUAUCUGCAGGACUCUGGGACAGGUAGUCGUGAGCACAGAAAUGAAAAUGCUUAGAUGUUCCCACUCAGGUAUGAGGAGCAUGAGUGCAGGGAGUAGAAAGAGUAGGGGUCUCUGGGCUGGGAGAAGUUGGGGAUUGGAGUGAGAGGAUUUAGGCAACAUGAGAAGAAAUACCUCUAGUGAAAAGUUGGAUUAGAGCAGGGGGUUUAGGGGCAAAGAGUUGAGAAAUUGAAAUUUUGGAGUGAAGAAGAGGGAAACUGGAGACUGGGCUUCUGAGCAGAGUACCUAGAAAUAUGUGCCUAUUAGGGAUAGGUGACUCAGGCUCUGAGGGUCCUAGUCCAGGCAGCUUUGGCUAGGAUUUCAGCUAACAGCUGGAACAUAUGUGCAAAGGCUGUUACCCCACAAUUUCUGUAGCCUCUUUGCUUUCAGAAAUACAUCAGUUUUACUAAAGGACAAUUAAUAUAUUUUUAAAAGACCUAAUCUAAGUUUCAUUGUUGCUUUUGAUCUGGUGAGAAAAGCUUGGAAAUGGGUUUAUUUUUUAAAACCUUUGUGUAGAAUGGUGUAGUAUUUAAUGAACAGUCUUAGUUAAAUGCUAUUAGAUAAACACUAAAAAUAAAAGUAAUGCAUUCUGAAAGACACAGUAUUUCUACAAUCACUAUAGUUAUUUAAUAUUUUACUCCCGAUCAACUACAUUGACAUAUUUUUGGGGGAUUGUAAAAAAACAGUUUUAAUAGAAUAUAUUUGGUUUUGAAGUACAAUCUUGAGACUACAUCUUCAAGCCAGUGCCACAAAAAAAAUAAAACUAGAGUUCUUCAGUUUCCCAGCUGUAUUCAUAUUUUAGUUUUUUGAACUCGUGGAAAUAUUUACCCAACCUCUGCUUUAUCCUUGUUUAUUCGCUAAGGACCUUUGCCACUGUUAUCAUUGCACCCUGUUUUUCCUUGCAAAUAACCUUGUUUUUCACUGGCCUGAUAUAAAAAUAAACAGUUUGGACAUGAUAAAUUUUAAUACAUUUUUCCCAUAAAAACUGGGAAAACAAAAGGAUCCUUGAAAUAACCUUGAAAUGGCUAACGAACCAACUGAAAAGAUAUGUUGUGGUUUUUUUUUAAUUCUCAGAAGGAUUAGAAAAUGUGUGCUCCUAUCACAAAGAUCACAAGAGCAUGGAGCAUUAGUGCUACACAGACAAUGUCAGAGAUCAGUGCAGAAGUCUAGUUAAACUGGCAUCAAGGUAAAUUUUAAUUUUUGUUUUUACUUUAGAGGCAAAACUUUUCUUAAUUUCCUUUAGAUCCCAGAAAUUGUUUUAACAAUGGUUUAAUAAAGUGGAAGGUAAAUAAAGAGUUACUGCACAGUCUCACAGGAAGCGAAAAAAAUGAAAACUUCCUGUUUACUCAUAGCAAGAAGUGAGACAACUUUAAGGGAAUUGGUUUGCUUAAAAGACAAUAGGAUAGGCAAGCCUGGUCACAUACAUAUUUUUUCAAAUUGAAAAUAUUUUUGUCUGAAAGAGUUAAAAAAGGCUUCCUUUUUAAAUCUUUUUGUAAAAAAGGUUUCUUUUUCUCUUUCAAUAGUAAUUAUUUUUUUCUUUUUCAGACACCUCCACUGAUGUCUUUUGGUGGCUGUAGAAAGUCAGGAACUGUCUAUGAUUCUGAGAGUCAGCAGAGUUGCUAAAGGAUUUGAGUUGAGAAACUAGAGGUUUAUUUCUAAGUAUUUGUGCAUUCCACUGAAUAGGCUUUUUCUUAAGUAUUUUAAAUUAGAAGAUGUUUUACUUUGGCAAAUACGUAUGUAGGCUCCUUUUCUAUUCAGCCAUUGUUGACGUAGAGGGUAGCACAUGCUUCUGCAUGUAUUUUCCUUCAUUUGAUUGAAUCUGAUUCAGAACUCCAGCCUUUUCGAGGUUAUUUCAGCACAGUUUCCCUCACUUGUCUUCAGGCUGUGAAGGUCACACCAAAGCUGUUAUUGCCAGCACAUGAGCUGUGCCAUUGUAGCCUUACAUUGUAAGCUAGGGAGUCUUUAAUUCCACAGAUCAGAAGGUGGACAAGUGUUAAUUUUUUUCCUUUCAUGAAAGUUCCUAUAUCGUCAUCUGUUGGCCAUUCAUACACUGGCUGAGAAGGGUAAACAUUACAUGUUAGAAAGGGAAAAAACCCAAGAGAAUUAAUUGUAAUGGGGCAACACCCCACCCCACCCCCCAUCAACUUGCAUUCGUUUCAGAUGGCAAAUUAUUAGGUGUUCAAUUUCUACAUGUUUAUUGAGAAUAUCUUGUUGCUCUGAUCAUGAGAUGUCAAAUAGUACAAAAUUUUGGAUGUCAAAGAUUCUGUCUUACAUUUCAUGGCAAUAACUAGGAGAAAAGUAAUUCUUCUGGCUUUAAGGUCCAGUUUAUUUUUAGUCGGAUUCCUCUUUGUUGGAAGAGUUUCUUCCUUUAUAGUUCUAUAGUUUACUUCUAUACCACUUGAAAAAGGGAUUUUUCAAUUCUUUAUUUCUAGUCAACAAAUGGAAAGAAGGGUUGUAUCGCAUCUUGACUUAAGAAAGCUCCUGUCUGCUAAGACUUAAAUUCCAGUGAUAUCAAUAGCCACUGUAAUCCCACCCUUUUUAACAGCAAAGCUUGUUUAGUUGUCGCUACCUUCAUGUCAUCAUACUUACUCAGCACAGAAAACGCUUGCAGUUUAUGGCAGUGCCAAGCCCUCAUCACCAUAAGGCUUGCCCUGUGCUGUGUUGACAGUCCUCUUGUCCAAGGCCUGUUCCUAUUCAGCAUUUUUUCCUGCUAUGUUUCUCAAUCCUGUUUGUAUUUUUUUCCAGGCUGACCUUCAUUUAUUUUAUGUGGUCAAAAAAUAAAUGAAAAUUGACAAAAUGA